rnacentral:rRNA from 1 species
GACAGAGGGGGCAAGCGUUGCUCGGAAUUACUGGGCGUAAAGCGUGCGCAGGCGGUUUUGUAAGCCAGAUGUGAAAUCCCCGGGCUUAACCUGGGAAUGGCAUUUGGGACUGCAAGGCUGGAGUUUGGCAGAGGAGACUGGAAUUCCUGGUGUAGCAGUGAAAUGCGUAGAUAUCAGGAGGAAUACCGAUGGCGAAGGCAGGUCUCUGGGCUAUAACUGACGCUCAUGCACGAAAGCGUGGGAGCAAACAGG